ACCCGUCUUUUUUUUCGGGAAACACUUUUCACGGAACUUCAGGUUUUGAAUGUCGUAUGUACAAAAGUACUGUUAAAUGUCUAUCUUGCAAGUGAUUAACAACGGUGAUUAACAACGUAGCACUAAAAGUAACAAGAUGUUGACCCCCAGCUAGGAGCGAAAGAGCAUCGAGGUUUUCCAGGUCUCACCUUCCUUUCGCACUUCUUCCAAACCAAGUCAUUUGCCCGGAUGUUGUAGCACUUGGUCCCCUUCUUGAUUCUGCUCCGAAACAUCCACAUCCUUCUCAGCCCGUGCCUGAAGGUGGUCCUCGAAGGUGUUCUGAUCUGGUUCGACAACUUCCACCACAUCAGGUGGAGUUUCAGUGAUCUGAAAUCAACAGCUGCAGCCCCCAGUCCGUAGUCAGUGGAGGCCUGGAUGCUGCUGUUGUGUUCAAAGAGAAUUACAUGCAGGUUGUUCGCCCACCCUUCCUGGUACCAAUCAAGGGACUUGCCCAUGGCAGUCUUGAGGGUCUGGUUGGUCCAUUCACCAAACCUGGAGGGGGUAGGAAAGCGAUAUCUACUGACAAUAUGACCUCAGGAGAACCGAGGGUGUUGAAGAUGUCCAUCAUUGCCUUGGAGAUGGCCUUGCCAGUUUCGUCCUUGAUGGGUAUAUCAUGCAAAACAAAAAUCUAUUUUUGGUUCCAAGAACCCUUUUUAAUGAGUUACAGAAGAGAAUUUAGAUUUAAGCACAUACUCUUCCUUUACUGAACUUAAUGGAUAUUGCCUCCAACCACUUGGUAAAGUGAUCGGUCGCCGUCAGACACCAGCUGUUGCCAUUGCUGGAUUCAGUGAAGGGUCCGAUAAGGUCCACCCCUAACAUUUAAAGUGUUAGAGAGAAGAUUACGUUAUUCUUACCCAUAUCUGUGUCAUACAGUAUGCAUAUUUUCAUAUUUGUAAGCAUGCUGACACACACAUUAUAUAAUAUUUAACUCUGCUGUGGUCAAAUAAAGCAACCAUUAAAAAACUUA